rnacentral:rRNA from 1 species
GAAGUAGCAAUACUUAGUGGCAGACGGGUGAGUAACAUGUAGGUAUCUACCCUAUGGCCUGGAAUAACACGAGGAAACUUGUGCUAAUACUGGAUAAGUCUUUACGGAGAAAGCUUUAUGCACCAUUGGAUGAGCCUGCACUUGAUUAGUUUGUUGGUAGGGUAAUGGCCUACCAAGACUGUGAUCAAUAGCUGAUUUGAGAGGAUGAUCAGCCACAUUGGGACUGAGACACGGCCCAAACUCCUACGGGAGGCAGCAGUGGGGAAUCUUGCACAAUGGAGGAAACUCUGAUGCAGCGAUGCCGCGUGAGUGAAGAAGGCCCUUGGGUUGUAAAGCUCUUUCGUCGGGGAAGAAAAUGACUGUACCCGAAUAAGAAGGUCCGGCUAACUUCGUGCCAGCAGCCGCGGUAAUACGAAGGGACCUAGCGUAGUUCGGAAUUACUGGGCUUAAAGAGUUCGUAGGUGGUUGAAAAAGUUGGUGGUGAAAUCCCAGAGCUUAACUCUGGAACUGCCAUCAAAACUUUUCAGCUAGAGUUUGAUAGAGGAAAGCAGAAUUUCUAGUGUAGAGGUGAAAUUCGUAGAUAUUAGAAA